ACAUCAUUACCCCACAUUCACUUCCUGAAAAGAAACACCUGAACACUUUGCCCACAGGUGCAAGAGGAGGGGGAAGGAGUCAGGAGGGAGCCCUCUAAGUGCAAGCCUGGCUCUACCUCCCUAUAGAAGAGUCCUCAAGAGAGCAGUCAGAGGGAGUGUAUUUCCAUCCACAUUGGCCAGGCUGGUGUCCAGACAGGCAAUUCCUGUUGGGAACUGUAUUGCCUGGAGCAUGGGAUUCAGUCAGAUGGCAUCAUCUCCUCCAUGACAUCCUCAGGGCAGACUCUUCCUUUGGGACUUUCUUCAAUGAGACAGGCUCAGGGAAGCAUGUGCCUAGAGCAGUGUUUGUUGACCUGGAGCCCACUGUCAUUGAUGAGAUCAGGACCGGGACUUACCGCAUGCUCUUCCACCCAGAGCAAAUCAUCAGUGGCAAAGAAGAUGCUGCCAACAACUACGUUCAGGGCCGCUACACCACUGGGAAGGAGAUCAUAGACUCAGUUGUUGAUAGAGCUUGUAAAAUGGUAAUAACACUACAGGGAAGUCCUCUGCACUAGACAGUGGUUGCUGUUGCCCUGACCAUCAAGAGGUGAUGGUGUGGAUGGAUCUUUAUCAGAUUGACCCUGCCACUGUGACCUGGAGUGACGUGAUGAGAUGCACACUGGUGCGUGUUGCCCUUCUUGGGAAACAAGGGGCAGAAGAUCCACCAAGAACUCAUUCCAACCAAUGUCACAGGUCACCUUCUGGUUGGUGUUUUCUCUUUAUGCCUCUUCUUCCCUGUGCAGUCUUCCUGCUGCAGAACUUCAGAAGUGCUGUGAUAACUCUGAAGCAUGCUUGAUUUGGGUAGAAUCUCAUAGUGACCUUCAAAUUUCUCCUGGUCCUAUUGACUGCUGAUGUUAUGAAUCUCUACCUGCCUUACAAUGCCAUGGCCAGGCUCCUCUCUCUACUAAGAAAAAAAGAUAAUUUAUUGUAUUUAACAUUUUUACUAUUAGAAGUAGAAGGAGGGUAAAAGCAGAAGUGAAACUUAGGGCCACAAAUUUCAUGGUUGAAUGCACUACUUCUAGCUUAAGUCUGAUGAAGCCCCAGUAACUUGAUUGUCCUGGCACUUUCUGGUGCUACAGACUGACCAGUGCAGCGGCCUCCAGGGGUUCCUGGUCUUCCACAGCUUUGGGGGAGG